AACGCACCUUGCGCUCCCUGGUAUUCCGGGGAGCACACCUGUUCGAGUGUUAUGAAACUAUCAAACAAGAUAGAUUUGUUUCUAUCUCUGUUUGUAUUUGGAUUUUGCUGCGUCAAUGCGGCUGGUCUGAAAUGUAUUAGCUGAUCCUAGUGAAGGAUCUGGUUCUACUCGGCAUGAUAAUUAUCUGAUGUUGAGGACGGUCUCAAGACUGGCCAGGCUUUCUGUGGGUUGCUUCUAAUUGUCUUUGGACAAAUUAUCCAGUAUUUGACCUCGAAUCAGGUGGGACUACCCGCUGAACUUAA
rnacentral:misc_RNA from 1 species